rnacentral:lncRNA from 1 species
GCUGGGCCCGGGCGGAGCCGAGGGCGGGGGAGGAGGGCGGAGCGGGGUGGGAGGCGCGGCGGCCGAGGGGCUGCAGAAAAGUUGCGGGGAUCGGAGCGACAGCAGCCGCGGAGCCGCGGGAGUGGGGAGCGCGCGGCGGGUGCAGAGCGGGCAGAGCGGGCGGCGCGCACCCGGGGCGGCAGGGAGCCCCAGACCCGUCUCCCGGGGAUGCGUGGGGCCCCGAGCCAGGUGCUGGCGCGCGGCCGGGCACAGCCUCCAGAUUUGGCUUGCAGAGCAGCGUGCCCCCCUUGAAGGGAAAUGCGGUUUGCAGCAGCCCUUGCCGGCCAAGAGUGGCCACGUGACAUGGAGCUGCCCUGUGGGAUGCGAGGGAUGGCCUGGGUCCGGGGCCCUAGAGGGCUGUGCAGGGCCUUCGGAGCGCGGAGUGGCCUGUGCGCUGUGCAGCUGGGUUUUCAGUACAGAUUUGAAGGCCAAAAUGGAGAAAACAGAAAUGAUUGAUGAAGCAGGAGUGAAAUGGACACGUUAUGUGCAAAACAAGGGGGGCCCUGGCUGCGGAGUAAUGGGCCCUUUGUGCUGA